CUACGGGGGGCUGCAGUGGGGAAUAUUGCACAAUGGGCGCAAGCCCGAUGCAGCCAUGCCGCGUGUAUGAAGAAGGCCUUCGGGUUGUAAAGUACUUUCAGCGGGGAGGAAGGGAGUAAAGUUAAUACCUUUGCUCAUUGACGUUACCCGCAGAAGAAGCACCGGCUAACUCCGUGCCAGCAGCCGCGGUAAUACGGAGGGUGCAAGCGUUAAUCGGAAUUACUGGGCGUAAAGCGCACGCAGGCGGUUUGUUAAGUCAGAUGUGAAAUCCCCGGGCUCAACCUGGGAACUGCAUCUGAUACUGGCAAGCUUGAGUCUCGUAGAGGGGGGUAGAAUUCCAGGCGUAGCGGUGAAAUGCGUAGAGAUCUGGAGGAAUACCGGUGGCGAAGGCGGCCCCCUGGACGAAGACUGACGCUCAGGUGCGAAAGCGUGGGGAGCAAACAGGAUUAGAUACCCUUGUAGUC
rnacentral:rRNA from 1 species